CCUACGGGGUGCAGCAGUAGGGAAUCUUUCACAAUGGGCGAAAGCCUGAUGGAGCAACGCCGCGUGCAGGAUGAAGGCCUUCGGGUUGUAAACUGCUUUUAACAGGGACGAAAGAAAUGACGGUACCUGAAUAAGAAGCCCCGGCUAACUACGUGCCAGCAGCCGCGGUAAUACGUAGGGGGCAAGCGUUAUCCGGAAUUACUGGGUGUAAAGGGUGAGUAGGCGGCAUGGUAAGCCAGAUGUGAAAGCCUUGGGCUUAACCCGAGGCUUGCAUUUGGAACUAUCAAGCUAGAGUACAGGAGAGGAAAGCGGAAUUCCUAGUGUAGCGGUUAAAUGCGUAGAUAUUAGGAAGAACACCAGUGGCGAAGGCGGCUUUCUGGACUGAAACUGACGCUGAGGCACGAAAGCGUGGGGAGCGAACAGGAUUAGAUACCCGAGUAGUC
rnacentral:rRNA from 1 species